rnacentral:misc_RNA from 1 species
AAGUAUAAAAAGGAAAAAAAAAACAUUAUUCACGACUCUCCUCCCUCUCCCCCUCUCCUGCCCUGCGCCCCUGACCCCCUUUCGUCCUCCACACGCAAGCGCAGGCCUCCAGAAAGCUUCUGCCUUCUCUCUCAAAACACACACACACACACACGCACACAACCGCAACAACCAAUCAAACACACACACACACAAAAAAAAACGAAGCCUUCUUCUCUAUUCUCUCUCUUCUCAUUUUUUUUUGGUUUUGACUUCCGUCUAGUUCCGUGUUUAAACGCGCACUAACACAAAUCUCACCUGUGCAGUCUUCUCCCCACCCAACCCACAGAUCUCCCCGUACGCAAAGCACCCGCACCUGCACCAGCAAUCCUUCCCUGCCCCUGCGCUCGCCGCUCCACUUUCGCCUCACAACCCGCGCCACUCCUUCACCACCUCCUUGUCCACCCGCUCCCUUUCCCACAGCUGCGACCAGUGCUGCAACACAGCAGGCGGCACGCACGGAGGCAGUGCAUCACUCUCCCUUCUCUCUGACGUCCUCUCGCAAGCCCCCCUCCCCCUCCGCCUUCCACUUUGGCGUCUUCUCUCCGUUUGUCUUUCGUCUUUUGCUCGAUUUAUUCGCGGCCCUCCUUCACCGUCUCAGUUACUUGAUCCACCUACCUCUCAGCUCCGCUUGAGACGCAGCCCGUCGCCGCCACCCACUUCGCAGAGAGACGCUUCUGUACACAAAACAAGCGAGGAAAACACUCCAUAGAGGCCACGUGAAAGAGAAAGCCCGCACACACGCCGUACACGCUGCAUUGCAUAGGCAAAAAGGCGCCCACAACGUGAGGCACUGCUUUCUCCCUUAAAAUCGCCGCAUCGGACAAGGCCAACAACGCUGUAACUGCUUCGUCUAAUCAGCUCGUCUUUUUACGCACGUGCGUGUGCUUCUCUGUGUUACGCUCCGACUGCGCUGGUUUUACUUGUCUUUUAUUUUGUAUUUUGUUUUGCGUGUGUAUGUGUGUCGCUGUUGUCUCUCCCCACAUCCGUGCGUAUCCGUGUGUACUAUCCGACGGUCUCGAGUUUAUCACUUGACUGCAUCAGUUUUCUAUUUUCUGUUUUUUUUUUUGUUGUUCUCUCUUGCUUUGUUGCGAGAGUCUUUCAGCUCUACACGUCAGCUCUCCACUGCCAGCACCCCCGCCCUCGCUCUCUCGCCGUUUCCUUGCCUGAAGGCCAGCUGGCGUGUGCGUGCAUGCUUAGGUGCAUUCCACCCCCUUUUUUGCGUAAGUGUGCUUCUUCCGUGAAGAUCGAUCUCGCUCCGUGAGGGCUUCAUCUUCUUUUAUUUCUGGCUUCCAACCACUUCUCUUUGUCGCUCUCUCUCUCUUAUCCCACACCACCCACACCCACCACAACACCCCACAUCCACAUCCACAGCCGCCAUAAUCGUCCCUGUCUCUCCCUCUCUCCCUCUCUCCCUCUCUCCCUCUCUCCCUCUCCAUCAUCAUCUCCUUCCCUCCUUUUUUUUUGGGUUUGUGCGUGCUUACGUUUGCCUUACUUGUGCAUUUUCUUCGAGAAAACUUUUUCUAUUUUGGAUUGGUCUUGUGUGUUUGUGAUCGUGUUUGUGUCCGUGUGCCUUUUUUCUUUUCUCGUUUUCACCACCACCACCAUCACCAUCACCAUCACUCUCCCCCUCCCUCUUUUAUUAUCAUUUCGCUUUUGCUUUGUGCGCGUGUGGAUCCGCGCUCGAACGCGUUGUGUUUCGCUCGUUGUUUGUGGGUGCAUUCUUUGCUGAGUCGUUAUAGCUGUGGUUGUCCUCGCUGUGCGCCGUUUCUACUUUUUUUUUUUGACGUUCUCUCACUGUGUGGUUGGUGGCCGGCGGUGGUGUCCGCGCUUCCUUGACGUUGUUUUACAUCGCCGCACUCCCUCUUUCUGCUGUGUGUGUGUGUUUUGGUUGAUUGGGAGGGGGUUGUGCCGCGGCGCUCUGCCUUGAGGCCCUGGGCGUUUCCCUUCGCACGUGUGGUGGCGCACGCUCGUGCGACAUUUUUUUUUUCGUAUUCUGUGUCUUGUGUGUGUUGUUCGGUCGACGGAUCUCUCAUUGGUAGCUGUCGGCGCACCUAAUCGUAAGGCUCCGGUGAUUUCCCCUUUCUCCUUUCCUCUCUACAUAUAUAUAUAUAUAUUGCCCUUUGUUUCCAUCAUCAUCAUUUUCCUACCUCACUUACCUUUUUUUUUCGUUCUGUUUCAGUGUUCGGUCCUUUACACACACACACGCACACACACCAGCCACUCAGCAGCACAACCGAAAAAAAGAAAAGAAGGCGCACUCAGCGACGCCCGAAGCACAUUCUGUGCGCCUUACACACACACACACACACACACACACACACACACACACACACACGUGUGCGUCUAUCUGGUCCGCUGCGCUCUCGUGUUUCGCUUUGUGUGUCGCUGCCGGUGCUGCUGCGACGGCGGCUGCGUGGCCGCCGUUUCAUUCUUUGCUUUUUCUCUGCUUCUUGUUCGCACUAACCACCUUUUCUUGUUUGUUCUUCACCUAUUCUACGAAGCGCACUACACACAGACACAGACGCACAGAUAAGCACAUCCGGCGAACGCACCGAACACAGCAUUCCAUCACGCGAGGAGCGUCGGAAAAAAACAAGAAAGAAAGGAGUCAACGCCUUCUGGAAAACAGAAUCACGGCGAAGCCCCAUUACACCAUUACCCGACACUCAGGGAAUCGUAAUAUUAAAAAGAACGAAAAAGAUUGCGUGAGAAGUACCACGUGUUUAUCAGCAACAGCUGAAGCGCAAGGUGCAGAGGAAGGAUUCACGUGGGACUCUCACUCAAGCGCAGAAAUAGACGAAAGAAAGUAUCUGAGAAACACGAUAACACAGAAGGAGUCUUAGCACACAAAGAAACAAGAAGAACAGAAAAAAACGAAAGAACACCUGCUCUGCUCUGCUCUGUUCCCUCUUUCCUUUUUUUUAUUAUCAUCUGGCUGCUUUCCUGUAUUGUGUGUACGUUGUACUUCGCACAGACAAACACCACUAUUCAAGCGCCUAGGCACACAAGAGACACAUACACACGCACCGGCAAAUCUUGAUCACAGCGAACAACCAGCACCAGCAGCAACCGCAGUCGGCACAUACACAUUCUCCAUUUCUUUGUCUUUCCUCUCACUUGUUUGUGUUCUCUCUUCCAAUUCUUUUCGGUUGUCUUUUCGAGCGACUUUUUUCCUUCUUUAGCUCCCGUGUCGUGUCCCCCUUCUCUCUCCUCCCCACCUCUUCACCAUUUUUGGGUCUUGCUUUACAGCUGCUGCAUAGAGUAUAUCUUUUUUUUUCCGCGCGCGUGUGCUUGUGCUUGUGCAAGUUUGUGAUUUGUGUUUGCGGUUGGUGCGCCUUUUCUUGUUCUCGUUCAUUUUUUCUCUUUUCCUUGCCUUUUCUGUUCUUUGAAAGAAAACAACAACAAAAAAGAAAAGCAUCCACAUCCACACCUGCAUCCCCCCCCCAGAAACCUCUUUUUUUCUGUGCGCGUGCCUGCGUGUGAGUGUGUUUGUCUAUCUGAGGACCUUUUUUUUUGCGUUUGUUCUCUUCCUCACUUUAUUCUUCGUCUAUCCACAUCCCUCCCCCUCUCCCCCAUCAUCAUCAUCUCCACACUCCCCCUCUCUUCCCAAGCGUACCUUUAGUUUCCUUUAUUCAGACACGCACAUACGCACGCACACAGACAGACACAGACAGACACACUCUUUUUGUCCUCCCCCUGUUUUUUUUUUUGCGUCUUCGUUUUUUUUUUUCAUUGCUGUGUGCAACUGUUCUGCGCGUUUUAUUUAUUUAUAGCUGUGCUCUUGUUCGCGUGCGCGCUUUCGGUUUUGAACUGCAGCAUCCGAAGUCUCUCCCACCGCCCGGGAUUUCGUCUAUGGCUCUUGUUUUUUUCUCGGUGAGCCCCUCUUUCUCUCUUCGUUUUCUUUUCGAACAAUUUCCUUUGUCUCUACCCUAUCCUUGGUACACAUAGAUACCCACCCAGACACAGACGCACACGCGAUCAGUAAGAGUACUCACCUCCACACCCUAUCCCACCCCGACUUUCUCUCCAUCUGGGUCAUAAUCUCAAGCAACACUUCUUUUUUCCCUUUGACUCGUUUUUUUUGUCCCGUCCACUUUAGUUCGUUUUCUGGUUAGCUCUCUCCUCCCACCCCACCCGUUCCCCUGUCUCUGUUGGUCUCUUCAUUGUGCCUCACCCGCCUUCUUUCUUUCUUCACGACGCUGCCACCACUGCCACUACGGCUACUUACCUCGAACGAAACGCCAUACCUAGCAGUCGCGCCACAGAGGUAUCAACAAGGAACGCUCGCUUUCUCAGAUACGCACACACGCAGACGCCUUUCGUAUUCUUGUCUCUGCUGCCAUCUCUAUCUUUCCUUCUGUAUUCCUGCGACUACUCUUCCACUCGACGCCUCGACCCUUCCCACCUCCCCUGUCCCCUAGGCUCUCUCUCGCUCUCUUCAAUACGAAGAAGAAAAGGGCAUACAGAUACACAUACACGCACACGCAUCCGCACAUAUAUAUAUAUAUAGUUGGACUUGCUGCUACUGUCUUUUUUUUUGUUUCGUGUGCCGCUCCCUCCCUGUGCGCCGGUGUGGACGUUUGAUUGUCUUUGCUUGCGCGCUCUUGCGUGACUUUAAGGUCUGUUUUUCUUUCCUGUUUUUUUUUUGCUUCACCCCUCCCUCCCUUCUAUCUCUUCCUCCAGACUUUUCUUGCUGGUCUCCUUCCCUCUCUCCCUUUCGUUCAGUACUUUUCCCCUGUUUCUCUUCGCUUCGACCUUCCUUGCCCUCUCCCUCGAUCUUCGCGUCUGCUCAGUGCUCUUGUUUCACUCGCCUGACCUUAAAUUGCCACCCACCACCCACUUGCUCUCCCUUCACAUCUUUUCGUGGCUUCGUGCCUUUUGCCCCGUUUCUCCCCCUUUUUUAUUUUGCUUGUUUGCUUGCUCGAUCGUUUUCUUUCGCGUUUCACUCUCUGACGACGGGAGGAUACUCCCCCCUCCCCCCAUCUCCCUUCCUCCCUCCUUCCCUUCUCCCUACAGCAACAGCAGCAGCAGUAGCAGCAGCGAAACAAACAAAAAAAGAAGACGUCGACAACGACGACGGCAAGGCCGCAAGCACACACGCACGCAGGUAAGCCAAAAUACCGCCAGCACCAACACCAUCAUAAACAGCGACAACAGCGAACACAUCGACCGACACGCACGUUUUGCAAAGACGAACAGGCAGAAUAAAAAAAAAGACAACAACGAACGGCAGAAACGAAAGGGGGGGGGAGGUACCGCAAAAUACUGCUGUAACAUCUUGCUUGUGUGCUCUGAGAUCUACUCCUUCCCUUUCAAACCUUUUUUUUUUGCGUUGGCUUGCGCAUUCUUUUCUCCGUCUCCGUGUGCGCGCUCUCUUACUCUCCCUCGGUGUAUUUUUCCUUUCCGAAUUUCUUGCGCCCCACCGUCGCCGAGCCGAAACAUAUACCUUCUACUUGCUCCUUCUCUUCCAUCGUGCGUCUACUCACUUGCCUUUUCUCGAGUGCUUUUAGAAGUGUGUCACUUUAUUAAUAUAUAUAUAUAUAUAUAUAUUUCGUUUCGAAAAUUUUCACUGUAUUUUCGACCUUUUCGAAGAACCCUCUCUUCCUUCUUUCCUCAGUGUUCUCUCGUUUCCUCCCUCUCUGUCGCUUGCUGUCUUUCUCACUGGCUCUCCUGGACACCUCGUCUUCGUGUGUAUGUGUGUGUGCUUUUGUUUUGUAGUUUCUGUACUCUGUUCUGUUCUCUUGUUUUUUUUUUUGUUGUUUCUUCUUCUGUAUCUCUGCACGUGACACUCUCUUACGCUCUCUCUAUCACAGACACGCCCACAGACGCAUUCUCUCCCGGGUAUUCGAAUCUGCUGUUCGGGGACACUUCUGUACUCUUCUCUUUGUAUUCCAGGCUCAACGACCGUUUUUCACGAAGGACCGCCACCCACGUAUCCCCUCCCCCGCUAUACCUUCUUCCUUCUGCCCUCUCGUCCUUUCCUCACCGUGCGUGCGCGUGCGUAGAUUUGUUCGUUUUCUUUGCUUAUCUUUUGGUUUCUUUCGUCGCGUUCGUGGCCUCUGAUUUCCUUUCGUUUACGUGCUGUACACGGCGUCGAGGAGACGAACGGAAAAGCGACCAAAAGAAAGAAAAGCAAAUAAGGAAAAGAAGGGGACAGCGAGGGAGCAGGCCACGAACACGCGAGCACACACUUUACAUCGCAUCGCAACACAACACGUGUCGCUGUCGUUCUCUCUUGCUUUCUUCUUCUUGCUCUCUUUGUCAUCACUGUUACAGCGAUACUCUGUCCAAACCUUCCUGUGUGUGACCCUUGUGUGCUCUUGCCGCCCUCCCACCCCACGGACACACUCCGCCCCUGUCUAGGCCUCUCUCUCUUUCCUCGUGCGCCUUGACGAACUCGCUCCCGGCUCCAAUCGUGUUUGUGCUCUUGCUCACCUCUUAGCUUAUAGUUUGCGGCUCAUCGAAAAGUCGUACUUGUCUUUGCAAACAUCUUAUCUAUUAUCUCUCUCUAUAUAACGAUAUAUACCUAUAUAUAUAUAUAUAUACGCAUACAUCUGUAUCUUUAUAUAUAUAUAUAUUUACAUUAUUUAUUGAAGUGCGUCCUUUUUUUUGUUUGCUGUUGUGCUUCUUUUUUUUUCCGGUGGACUUGCUGUGUGCGUGUCUGCCUCGCACUACUCUCUACUCUCAUUUCCGUGCUAGAGUCUUCGUGUGCUGUUGCUGCUGUUUUUGCUGCUGGAAAGCAGAAAGAAGAGAGGGUCGUGCAGACAGGAAACCUUUCUUCCUUGUGCUCGCUGGUGUGCGUCAGUUUGUGUUUUGUGCGAUCCUCUUCUGUAUCUACUGUUGCAGAGUCGUUGCCUUCUCUCACUCUUUCUUGUGUGCGGUGCGAGUCUCUGCGUGUGCUUGUGCGCACUUCCUCCUCCUCUCUUCUUUCGCUCGAUUUUUUUUUUAUUUGUUCCUUUCCCUGUUUUGCGUCCCUUCCACAUCAUCAGCGGAAGCCGCCACACCUCUGCCUCUUUCGUCGUCUCGCCUCUUUCAUCAGUACAACAGAGGGCCAGGGAAAAAAAAACAAGCGCGUUGCAACGCAACCAUAUCGUUCAGCUUUUUUUUUAUUGCUCGCUUUUUCGUCUGGGGUGUUUGCCACUCCGUCCACCCGCUGCGAAUCACUCGUGCGACGGCCACUCCUAACGAACACCUUCUUCCAUCUCUUUGUUCUUCGCCGUGUCUCCUCGCUAUAUAUAUAUAUAUAUAUUUCUGCGUUGUUCCCUAGUUGUGGAGUGUGCAGCAUCAGGCAACAUAGUCGCCACCCGCCCCGCCCCGCCUCUCCUCCUCGUCUUUUGCUUUAAAGCGUUUUUUUUUUGUUUUCAUCUGUAUGUUGCAUCCCUACAUUGCUGCUUUUGACGACCUCACUUGCGUUGCAGGUGCUUCAGGCGAAACGCUCGCUCGCAACACCGACACGGGCACCACCAGCUACGGCACCGGCAGCGGCGUGGAAGGCGCCUUUGGCACCUCUCUCGACGCUGCAGGCCGACUUGCAGGUUUCGAGACGCUAACGAGCGCUUCUCUCAACACCAACUUCCUGUACGACGGCCUCCGUUCCAGCAGCGUGACUCUUCGCGAAUCCCUGCCGUUCACGCACCUCACGUGCUCCCCUACCACGCUGAGCACCGUUGGUGAGUCUGCCAUGCAGCCCACACAAACACCGACCCAGAUGCCGCAGCAAGAUCCGUUGCCAGACCUCAACACCCUCACCAGCAACGCCUUCUUCCCCUUCCCUUCCGCUGCCGGCGCCGCCAGCGCCGAGGGUGGGCAGCAGCAGAUGGCGACAGCGAACCUCUACGAGGCAUCUCAGGCCGAAUCUAUCAUGAAGGCCGCUGCCGGCGACGGCAAGAGCGCCGCGACGGCGCCGGAGCCAGCGGCUAGCAACCUGCUCGGCCGUCUCACUGUCUCGACGCUGGCGGCACAGAGCGCCGCUCCCGGCACAUCGCCGCAGUCGCAGCCGUGUCUUGUCCCGCAGUUCACUCCUCUAGGCGCGGGCGCGUGCUCGAACGCGAGUCGUUCUUCGGCUCCGUCGUACAGCAGCGCUUCAGUGCCGAUCGGAUGCGGCCAGCAGAUGUACAGCGGCGAUACCUCUUUUCUCUACCCAAACUUCGUCAACGAGAUGUCGUCUUUGACACCGCCGCAAUCUGCGCAGGGCCACACCGAGGGCUUUGUUGCCGGCGUCACUACCCCUCCGGCGAUGCCGAUGAACAGCAGCACCAUGAGCAACAAAGGCGGCUCCAUGAACGACAACACGAGCACCUCGCUCUCACAAGCGACGUCAUCGGGCAUAGCCACGUCUUCCGGCCAGCCGAACGAUGCCGAGGUGCGCAGCAACCUGUUUGUGUGUGGCUUGCCGGUCAGCGUUAGGGACAAGGAGCUGCUAGAGCUGUUCGAGAAGCACGGAGAGAUCGAGUCAGCUAAGGUGAUGCUGGACAUCCACACUGGUCGCAGCCGCGGCAUCGCCUUCGUGAAGUUCAAGAAUGUCGAGCACGCCGAGAACGCGGUGGACGCGCUGAACGGCACGACUGUGAAUGGACAUCAGAUCACCGUCCGAGUGGCGAACUCGCGUGCUGCCUACUUGCCAGGCAACCCCACGAACAAGACCUUUGUGCGCAACGUGCCGCUGACCGUUUCACGCACGACUCUGUUUGAGUACUUUGCUCAGUUCGGCGAGGUCACUGACCUGUCUAUCAAAUCGGACACCGCACAGGGUCGCCACAACCCGUCUGGCCGCUCCGCCAGCACCACUGAAGACGGCGUUGACGACAAGCUGAACAUUGUCUUCAUCACCUACUCGACCAAGGAGGCAGCCGCCAAGGCCGCCGAGGCCACACACACGAAGACACCGUUCAAGGAGUGUAACGGCGUGCCGCUGCUGGCAAAGGUCGCCGAGGACACAGUGCGCCGCAUGGAGCGUCUGUCGCGCCGCCAGCGCCCCGCUACGGGGGCCGAGGGGACGAGGGAAGUGAGCACAUCGAGUAGCUCCACCAACGUCGCGUCGAUGAGUAGGUUCGCCGCGCCGUCGAUGGGUGCUGCGCUUCCUACCGGCAUGAUGAUGCCACCGAUGAUGCCCAUGACUGGUGGCUUCCCUCCUGGGACCUUUGUCUCCGUUCCCACUAUGGGUAACACGCCGGACCUGACCGCGCCUACGAUGAUGCCCGCGAACGUGGCGGGGGAUCAUAUGACGGCCUUACGCGAUGCCAGCGGCAACCCCAUCUACGCCCCGGCACAACCGAACCCCGCCACCGCGACUGGUGGUAUGGCGUAUGCCAUGCCCGGCAACAUGGCGCAGCCCAGUAUCUUCUUUAGCGCUCAGCCACCACCGCCGACGAUUAACCAGUCACCACCGCAGCAGCUUCAGCAGCAGCCUCAGCAGCAGCCACAGCAGCAGCCUCAGCAGCAGCCUCAGCAGCAACCGCAGCCGCAGGCACAAACGCAAACGUUGUACAUAAGCACCCCGAGUGGCUUUGUACCAGCUCCACAGCAGCAGCAGCCUUCGCAACAACAGCAGCCGCUGCAAUUCUUCCCAGCACCGCCACUAAUGCCGCAGGCACCGCAGCAGUCGCAGCAGGCAAUGCCGAUGUCAGGGGCUGCGCCUGGCCAGCUUGUGUACAUGCAAACCCCGAGCGGAUCGAUGAUGCCGGUUAUGUACGGCGGUGCGCAGCCGGCAACAGCGUCGAUGCUACCGACACAGCAGAUGAACCCUUACUUCGUGAUGAUGGGAGGACAGCCACCUUCAAACCAGUAGGCGCACACCUCGAGCAUGCGUGGCCGCGUUUGCUGCUCUCUAGGCAGGGAGAUCUGCUGCGUGCGUCUCACCGUUUGUGCUUUGCUUGCACUUCUCACCGCCCUUCUCACUCAUAUUCCCCAGCACCGUUGAUGCUCCUCUUCCGACGUUCUUUUUUUUUCUCCUCUCGUUCUCCUUGCGACCCUACCCCCUCCCCCUGUGUGCUCUUGCUCAGUCCUUCGACACUGGCGAUGGCUGGCAGGCCGCGCCUGCCUUCACCCACUUUCUCCUUGCCUUUUACAUUUCCUGGCGCCCUCAGCGCUGCUUUUUUUUUUAUCCCUCAUUUCGCUAGCUCGCUCACUCUCUCUUGCGCUCGCGCCAAUGCUCUCGUCCCCUCUUUCCGCUGUCAUCGUCAUCGUCUUAGUAUUUUCUUUUUCAUUAUUUGUGCCGACCUGCGAACCCCACUGGCAUCGUGUAUCUGUGUAUGUACGUAUGGAAUGUGCGUGUAUGUAUGUGUGCCGUCAACGUGUGCGCGACACACACACACACACAUACACACAUACACAUCCACAGAAUGGAUGCCUUGCUGCACCUUUCUCUGGCCUCUCACUUAGUUAUCUAUCUAUAUAUAUCUUGCUAUUCCAGCACAUACGUAUGUGUGCUUCUACCUGCCUUUGUGCAUGAGUGUGCCCUCCUCUUUUUCUUUCGUAUUUCACCAACGUCUCUAAUCCGUUUUCUUCGUUUUUUUUUAAUUUAGGAAGGAACUCAAUUGCCUUGCUUCUUUCCCGCUGUCUUUUCUGUCUUGGAUGACGACUUUUCUCUCUCCCACACACACGUACACAAAAUACCUGCAGAUGCAUGUACAUGUAUAUGUGUGCGUGUGUGGCAUGUUGGUGCUCCAAAUGUUUUCUCUACAUUUCCCACCCCCUUUUUUUCGUUGUUCUCUUCAUUGUUUUCUUCCCCUCUCCUUUUUUACAAGGUUUUUGUUUCUCGCCUCCCUCCUUUUGCUGUUGGGGACGGCUUAGACCGUCUCUCCUCACCCGUCUGAACAGCUUUUUUUUUGCUUGCUUGUAUGUGCGUUGCUGCUUCGAUGUGCUUGCCUGUGUGCCACGGCACACCUGCGUGUGUGUGCGCGUAUUAUUCGACCUGUACUUGCCUCUCUGUUUCUCUCUCUUCGCUGCUUCUUCGCUUGGGAGGUGCCUGUGUAUGUGCGUGUGGGCGCGCGCCUCUUGUUUUUCCCCCUUCCCCCUUUUCUUGUUUGCUGUUCUUUGUUCUCGCCAAGCUUCAUUGACUUCACCUUUUAUUUUGCCCCUGUGUGUGUGUGUGUGUGUGUGUGUAACUCGUAAAGGUUUCCGUAACGUGUCUUUGCGUUUUUUUGUUCGUCUUCCUCCUCUUUGAUGUUCGCCUGCACCUAAGCACGCGUCUCUCUCCUCGGUUUAGUUUUCGCUCCCUCCCCUCCCUUCCUCCCUCUGUCCAUCUCCCUUGCUAACCCCUUUUCGCCGCUUUUGCUUGCGUUGCUUGAAGAUGGUUUUGAUGCGUGCUUUCGGGAUGGGGAGGAGGAGGAGGGGGAGGGGGAGGGAGGACCUCAUCAUUGCAUGAAGCUUGAAAGAGGUACCUCCUCCUCUUCCCGCCGCCCCACCUGGCUCCGUCCAUCUCUGUUUCUCUCCCUCUCUCCUCUCCGCACUCUCCCACUCUCUGCACAUGCGUGUGGCCUUUUGCCUCGGCAUUAUGGUUUUUCCUUCUUCCCGUUUCCCAUGGUUUCUUUCUUCAAUGCUUUGUGCCCGCUUUAUGAUUUUCUUGUGCGUAUGCGCGCGUGCGUGUGUAGGUGUCUGUGCGUGUGUGCGCGCUUGCGUUCGUGCUCUCAGUCCCCUCCUUCCUUCCUCUUUUAUUCGCCCUGUAGGAAGGGGCCGCGUCUUUUCCUUCUCUCUGAGUUUUUCGUGCCACACACCUUUUUCGCCUCUUCUCCGGCGUCUUCUUGAGGGCGGGCUUGAAUAGGGGAGGGGGGGCACCCGCACCUCCUCCCCCCGACCCCUCGUGCUUUGCCCUCUCCCUCUCCUGUAUCUUGACCUGCCUCCCACACAUUCUCUCCCUCUUUCUCCUUUUCAG